CUCUCCUUCAUGACUUGCAAAAUAUACUCUCCUGGCCUCAGAGUUGUAAGGAUGGAAACAAACACUUCUGUUUCUGAACCAGAGUGGGUUCUCAGAGUCUUGGCUUUCUUUCUGCAGCCUGUCUGCCUCCUAAGCAGCUGAGAUUGUUUCCCCACUACAGAUGAGUGAUAAGCUGACUGCACCCUCACGGAUAAUUCUAUCAACUCCUGGGACCAUCGCAUAGAGGGUGCUUGAGACAUGCUGCACUGGACGAUGCACACACCCCAUCUCUCCAACAUGACUAGGCCACCAGGAUGCAUCACAGUCCUGACCCCAAUGCAGGAGACUGAAAGUCACCAAGGACUGAGACAUGCUGUCGAGCCACAAUCAGAAGAGAAACUGGAGUUGAAGAAGAGCCAGGUCUGGCCACACAGAGAAGUGAAAACCUCCAUUUAAUGGUCAGAGGCAAAGUACAAAGUUAGGCAUCAGAGAAGUGUUCCGUUUUGGUCACUAUUAUUUCUUAAGAAUCUUUCUGAACACUCCAGAACUAAAGGACUAGAAGUCCAGGGCCCUUGCUCUCAGUGUCUGAUUAGCUGCUGUCAUCUGCCUCGAAAGCUGCCCCAUGGUUUUUUCCAUCCUUGCUAGCAGCACAAACCAACUGGUUUAGCCUAACAUUGAUAAAACUACAGAAUCUCAGAUUUGGAAGGAUGCUUUUAAAGCAAAUAGCCAAGCUCCUAGCUAAUUUUCUAAUUUUGUUGCUACAAGAAUAAAGAAUUUAAUGUGGGUGUGGAGGGAGAGUUAUUUGAGUCCAUUUUUCUUCUGGUCUUUCCCCUUUUCCAAGUAUAUAGGCAAUCCUGCACUCAUUGCCUCAGGGAGGGGAGGCAAUUAGUCAGAAGAUAUAAAUAGCCAAUUGGCACUUUUUGUCUCUGUGUUUUAAAAGAGGGAACUUAGAAUUUUGGGGAUGAUGUCAAGAUCAAAUGUGUGGGAGAAACAGAGGUCAAAGAGCAUUGACUUCCUCCACCCACCACCUAGAAUAGGAUUCUCUGAGGUCUGAGGCAUGGAGAGUGAAGAGCAGAUAAUGAUGAGAACAGACAGAAUGAGGGGUUCAAGAGCCAGGUUCCCUUCUUUCUGGGCAGUAGGUAGCAAUACCCCAAAGCAGGAGGUAGCAAUACCCCAAAGAGGAGAUGGCUUCGUGCAGGGUCUAGGCACACCAGUUCAUUGCCUCUUAAAGAUUUCUGGUGUGAACCUGGGAGGCGAAGCUUGCAGUGAGCCGAGAUCGCGACGCUGCACUCCUGCCUGGGCGACAGAGCAAGACUCCGGCUCAAAAACAAACAAACAAACAAACAAACAAAAACCAAACAAGAUUUCUGGCCCUCAAGCUAUGCAGCAAAAUAUCUCUGUGAGCCUCCAGUUCUAAAAGGCCAUGCUGCAAGCCAAAUACUCUCUCAGGGUAACUCAAUGGGAACAGAUGGCUCAGGGACCAGAAGGCUCACCCUCCCUCAAUGUACUGCUAAAGGCACUAAGUAAAUCCCAACAGGGUCUUUGUCUCAACCCCCGGGAAGAAGAGAGAAACCAAUAAUAAUCGGAGAGUGUUACCCUUAGCCUGCUAGUACAAAGAUAAAACAUCAAAUUGAGUUAGAGGAAAUGUUAUUUUUCUAGAUCAAUGCAGUCUAUGGACUGAGAUUCAUAGAUCUACUAUACACAUAAACACAUGUAAAACUACUUAACACAUAAAAUGUUACCUAUAUUAUUAGCAAUGUAAUAUUAUCAGUGAGUUGAAAGUCAGCUACAAAAUCUGAAUGUCAAUUGACCUCCACGUGGUUAUCUUAUGUCCAGAUGGAAAAACGUUGGUUCAACUCAUUGUCUUUUUAAAAUCCAUUCUUAAAAGAGAAAAUAUUAAUUAAAGAUUCAUUGUCACUUUAGGAGAAAGAGAAAAGAAGAAGGUGGAGUAAGUGUCUAGCUUUAUUCCACAGGAAUUUGUCCUCGUCUCUGCUUCAUUCAGCACUCUGACAAUUCCCUGGCAAAGUGUAGAAUGUAUAUGCAUCUCCAUUAGAUUUUUUCGUCUGCUAGAUUUGACUAUUUGUUUCAACUACGCUCCUUUUUUUUUUUUUUUUUUUUAAGAGAUGGAGUCUUGCUCUGUUAUCCACCCUGGGGUGCAAUGGCACAGUCAUAGCUUACUGUAAUCUUGAACUCCUGGGCACAAGUGAUCCUCCCACCUCAGCCUCCCAAAGUGCUGAGAUUACAAGUGUGAGCCACUGUGCACAGCCCAAUUAUGCUACUUUUGAGUAUUAAUUAAGACAACUGAGAUUCUGGCUGCCCACCCAACAUCACAUUAUGCUAAAUUUAAGCACCAUAUGAAUGUACUUCUUUAAUAACUUCUUUACUAUUUUCCUUGUUCUUCCACUUUACUAUUUCUGCAAACCUCCUAAUAUAGACCAUUCAGUCUAUCUCCCUUUUCCUCUCCUACACCCUGCUAGCUCAGCAUGAGCUGCUGGAGAAAACUCCCACAUCAGUGCAGAUUGGUGUCACAACCGAAGCAAGGCUUCCAAAUGCAGCUGGCCAUCAGCAUUUCACAGGAAUGGCUCUCCUCCCUUGGCCAGUGGCAUCACUCUCUCCUGAUUCUCCUCCUACCUCCCCGCUUUUUGUUUCUCUGUCUUCUUUAUAAGCUCUUUUUCUUCUUUUCUUAGAUAUUCAUUCUUCCUGCGUUCUGGCUGGGGCGCUCAUUCAACAUGCCCCUCCUGGGAAAUCUUAGGCAUUGUGAUAACUUUGACAAUCUAUACAAGCUAAUGAUUCCCAGAUCCUUAUCUCCAGCCUAGGGCCUUCUGAGCUCUGUGUCUGUAAGUUAAUAGACAUCUCUAGCUACAUCAUUAACACAUUUUAAACACAAGUCCUAAAAUUAACUCAUUUUCUAUUAUCUCAUCCAGCAACUCCUGUAUUUCCAAUUUUGAAAAAGCCCAUCUUUUUGUGUGGGCAUGUGUAUACUUGGUUUGAUCUCUGUUCCAUUCUUUCCGGAAUGUUUGAUUGUAUCCCAUGUUCAUUAACAGGUGAACAUAUUGGCUGUUUCUCCAAUAAAAAAUGAAACAGACCAUGUGUCUGCACCUAACUAGUAUUCAAUAAAUGGUUGCUGAAUAAGUGAAUCAUUUCCAUGAUCCACUAGUUUAAUAAUCUUAUCAAAAAAGACAAUAAGUAUACUGAUAAAACUUUCAUUUAAGAACCAAUGACCCCAAUUAUACUCAUUAUUUUCCUUUCCUAAAUGCUGAUGAUCAAUUCAUUUACUAUUUCACUUGGGGUACACAUCAAGCUUAUUGGUUUAUAAUUCAUAAAGUCAUGAGAAUGAGUAGACACUUCCUCUUCUUUCUUUUGGAAAUCAGAAUUAAAAUGGGUCUCUGUGGUUGUAAGGGAACAUGCUCAUGCUCUGUAAUUCCUCAUCGAUUGUCAUUUAUGUUUCCACAACCUUACCUGCCCUUUCUUCCAGGAACCAAUGACCUGGUUUAUACAAACAUGGCUAAUAUGAACUCAUUUGGAUAGCUCUUUGUGAUUCUUAGAUAAAUCUAAGAAUUUAGAUUCCUCUUACUAAUAUUUAUUUUUCCCUUCUGACUGAAAAUACUUCUCUUUGACCAAGAAGAAAAAAAUUCAAACACCAAUUCAAUAUUUCUCGAAUUUUUUUCCUAUUGUCUAUUAACAUUAAUUUUCCUUAAUCAAUAUUCUUUCCUUAUUUUUCUAACUCUAAAAAUGACUGUGAGACUCCACUUUUGUUGUCCUUUGUGCUUUUUGCAAACCUCUACUCAUUCUGGGUUUUAACUUUCCUGACUCGGCUUUUCCAGUUUCCCAACUCAGCUUUUCCAGUUUCCUGACUCCAUUUCUGCUUAGUUCCUUUCCUCUCCUUCCAGCUCACGGUUGCAUUAUUCUAAAAUUAGUAUUAAAAUGCCAAUAAAUGCCUUGACAAAUAAUAGUUAUUGAGCAUUUAUUAUGUGCGAGACACAUCACAUUCAAUUUUUUAAUUUUACCAUAACCCAGUGGAAUAGUUAUUACUAAGAUCCCUAUAUUAUACAUGAGGAAAUGAGACUUAAUGAGAUUCAGAAGUUUCCCAGUGUCACAGAGCUAGUAAACUACAGAUCCAGAGGCUUAAGCCCAGGUCUGAAUGACUAAAAGCCAAGACCCUACUGUCCAAGUUUAGUCUUCUUCUGUGUGAAAAGUACCAUAACACUGAGCUCACAAACUCAAAGGGUCCAGAAGCCAUGUACUAAAAUAGGAAAUGCACAUGGGUGAAGAGGGCCAAGUGUUUGCAUAGCAAACACGUUGGAAUAUUCUUUCCUUCCACAAACAUAUUUUUUCCUUUUUUUGUUAUCUUCACACUUUCAAGAUAAAUACAUAGGGAAAAAUAUUCUCUAAUUAUGCAAAAAGUAAUAAUGUGAGUUUGAUAAAUGGCAGUGGAUAUUCAGGUUAAGGUAAUCAACAAGAAGUAGGGGCACUGCUGUGAACAGAAAAGCAUAGUCCCCACUUCAGUGGUUCUCAAGGUGUGGACUCUGACUCUGACCAGCAGCAUCAGCAUCAUCUGGGAGCCUGUUAGAAAUGCUAAUUUCGGGGCCCCAUCCCAGACCUACUGAAUGAGAAAUUCUAGGGUGGGGCCCAGAAAACUAUGGCUUAACAAGCCCCCCAGGUGAUUUUGAUGCACACUCAGGAUUGAGAAACACUGCCGUACCUAAAGGGAAUACCUCCCGCUCCUCUCCAGCUGAUUGUUUCCAUGUGGGGAGUAUGGAUCUUAGGUCAUCAGUGCCUCCAUGUUCAAAGGGAAGCAGAAGUCUCCAUUAUUUUAAUUCUCCCAAUUAUUAAAUACUGCUUCAAAUGUUUUUAAUAUGCAAUAGAUGAAACAAAACACAUGUAGGCUACUUCUGGCCUAUAGACCAUUCAGUAAAUGACCACUGAACAGAACCUAAGUUAUAUUAAACAUUAGAAUUAUUUUACUAGUAACUACUUAUGGAAAUAUCAAUUAAUUGGCAAAUGAAGGAAAGUCUCCUUUUCAUUAUAACCACUUGUUGUUUGGGAGAGCAAUCUGCCCACCUUAUAAUAACAUUUGAUAGAGUUUAAAUGUUUUGAUCAAGGUUUUUUUUUUUACCCUGCCUGGAAUUUUCAAGAUAUGAUUCAUGUUUGUAUUGUAAUUUUAAGUAUUAUGAACUAAAACAUUAGCUCUAAGUGAUAUGGACAGGAGGCAGGGAAAUGCUGGGUAGAAAAGGAUUGUUCCCCAGCAAAGGCCCCAACUUCAAGCCUGGAAACCCGAGGCCCUAAAUGAGAACAGGCAUUCCUGUUUUUGCACCCAAAAGUUGCCUUUUGGCCCACCACACUCCCUAUCCUGUACCCAUAUAAACCCCAAACUCCAGGCUCCAUGAGCAGAUGAACAGAAGAGCAGAAGAGCAGCAGAAUGGUGGAGCAGAGAAAAGAGGAGAUGGAGCAUCUGAACAUCGAGAGGAGUUUGGCUGGGGCUGGUUGGAGAGGAUAUCGGCUGCUAGAUGGCCAAACUCCAGGGAAAGAUCAUCUUCCCACUCCAUCCCCUUUCCAGCUCCCCAUCCAUCCCACUGAGAGCCCCCUCCACUACUCAUAAACCCCCCACAUUCACCAACCUUCAAGUCCAUGUGUGACCUGACUCUUCCUGGAUGCCAGACAAGAACCCAGGUACCAAGGGGUCACUGAGCUGGUUAACACUUAAGCCACAGACAGCAGAGCUAAAAGAGCACUGUAGCACACCCACUGGGGCUUUGCGAGUCAGAGGCACCAACCACUAGAUGCUACCAUGGGGCCAGAGCUCAAAAGCACUCGCUCCAGCUCCUGCACCUACCUGUCUCUGUGCUCUCCAUCCCGUAAGGGGUUUGAGUGCACAGCGGCCAAACAGAUGAGCCACACCCCUGUUGCAUGUCCUGCAAGGGGGGUCAGGGAACUCUCCUGUUUCAUAAGAUUUAAAUGGCAGCUCAUAAACUAACAUAUUUUAUGAAACUUUUUUUCAUUUUAAUAAUGCGGUGUGUAUGUGUGUAUGUAUAGGAUAUGCUGAAGACUUUCAAAUCAAAUAAAUCUAGUUCUAUGUUUUAAUCAGCCUGUGAAAGGCCUCUAUCCAAUGUUUUAUGAUUUUGAGCUUUAAUCAUAGAUGAAUACCUCUGAGAACCUGCCAAUACAAGAAUAUUGCCCGUGGAUCAAGCAGAGUUUGGGUCAAAGUGUUUCAGGAAAAGGAGCAUCAUGCAUGAAGGUCCCAACAUGGUACGGUUGGCGUAUUUGAGAAUGGAAAUAAGAUCACUGUAAAGAACAGCCCAGUAUGAGGUUGCAGAAGUACAGAGAGCCCAGAUUGUAGAAGGCCUUGUAGACUUCAGUAAGGACUGGGGUAUUUAUUGUAAGGACAAUGAGAAACCACUGACAGAUUUCAAAACAGCCAUGAUUCCCUAAACAUUUAAUCAUUAAAAGAUCAGUUUGGUUAUAUUAUGGAGACUCAAUGAGAAAGAGUAGAUAUAAAGCAGAUCAGUUAGAAAGUUAUUCCAGGAGUCCUGUUGGGAUGUGGUGCCGUGUUGGUGGUAAUAAAAAUAAAGACAAUUUCACAGAUUUAAUAAGUGCAUGGGAAGUCAAAUUGAUAUGGUUAUUGUGGUUACUGAUCAGACUUCAAUAAACCAAAAGGCCGUGGUGCCAAGGGCCAUCCCUAGAGCCAGCCUGUAGCAUUCAUGCCCCAGCCUGCUCUGACUACAAAGCUGAUGCUCUAUAAAAAUCCAGUCUUCUUCCAGCUCCCUCAAUCCAUGCCUGGGCCAAGCUCCAGAUUCACAGGCCUUGUGCUCUACAUUUGCAUGUGUGUAUACUAGACUAAAGCAACUGCCA
rnacentral:lncRNA from 10 species